rnacentral:rRNA from 1 species
AGUGAACGCUGGCGGUAGGCCUAACACAUGCAAGUCGAACGGCAGCACAGUAAGAGCUUGCUCUUACGGGUGGCGAGUGGCGGACGAGUGAGGAAUACAUCGGAAUCUACUUUUUCGUGGGGGAUAACGUAGGGAAACUUACGCUAAUACCGCAUACGACCUACGGGUGAAAGCAGGGGAUCUUCGGACCUUGCGCGAUUGAAUGAGCCGAUGUCGGAUUAGCUAGUUGGCGGGGUAAAGGCCCACCAAGGCGACGAUCCGUAGCUGGUCUGAGAGGAUGAACAGCCACACUGGAACUGAGACACGGUCCAGACUCCUACGGGAGGCAGCAGUGGGGAAUAUUGGACAAUGGGCGCAAGCCUGAUCCAGCCAUACCGCGUGGGUGAAGAAGGCCUUCGGGUUGUAAAGCCCUUUUGUUGGGAAAGAAAAGCAGCAGGUUAAUACCCCGCUGUUCUGACGGUACCCAAAGAAUAAGCACCGGCUAACUUCGUG